AGAGCCUUUAUUCAGGCUAUGGGUGAGCCAGCAAGCAAGGCAUUUGCUCCAGACAGAGAGUCCUUCAUAGAUCCAUCAUGCUACUAUAGCUAACAAACACGUCAAUAGGGUUUAAAAGGUGCUUCAGAGGAGCUCGGAAGCAAAGACAAAUAAGCACACCGUGACUGCUGCCUUGACAUUCUCCCAAGCUGACAUCCCGACCGGUAUGACACUGAUGCCUUUGGGCAGAAAUCAGAGCCGGUUUGCUACAUGCCUCCAUGUAGCCACGAUGCCUGUAGCGCCUCUGAGAGCCCCCAGUGCCCUGGUGGGGAAAUGGAGCGAGCACGUGGGCCCCAGAUGAACUCCAGGGAGAGAGCAGGCAUUUUCCGUGGUGAUCCUGCUACCCGUUUCCAGUUGUUGAGCUGGCUGGAAGAGAAGCCCUCCGACCGUCUGCUUUAUAUUCAGAUUUCAGAUUUGAGUCCUCACUUAAAGGCACAGCUGUCCCUUGACUUCAGCUAAUUGCCACGUUCCCUUGAAGGAGUGAUGCCUCUCCCAAGCUUCUGUGCUAGCAUCAAGAGAGAACUGAUCUAUGGGCUACUCAGUGGUUACUUACAUCAUUCUUGUGCUUCCAGCCACGUGACCUGACCGCAGGCUUUCAAAAGUUAAACUUAAUUGACCUUUCACAAUGAAAUUGUCCUGGAAAAUUUCCUGAGCAGCUCUCAUAAGGAGGUUUUGGAGUCAGGAGGACCAGAAGAACCCUUCAAGUAAUAAGUUUAAAACAAAUAGAAGGAAAUAAUUUGCAACAUUAGUGGCU
rnacentral:lncRNA from 7 species